CUGGAUAUAUAUAUUUUAGUGUUGCUGGAUUAGAUAGGGAUGUGAGAUUUUUGUUGUUUUAUAUAAAUUUAUCUUUACGUUUGUUUAAAGUUAAACAAUGAUUCUAUUCUCAAAACCCUUCACGGAAAUAAGACGAGAUUGAUGAUAGGAAGUUCUGGUUUGAUUCUCGAAAUUAUCAGAGAAGACGAAAUUUUAAAAAAUUUAUUUUCUUACCUUGAGGAGAAGGUGCUGUCGGGUGCCAUUACUCCAGCUGCUCAGGUGAUCGUCGAAGUUUGUUGGGUUUAUUAUUUAAUCUCGAAUAUAGUUUUCUAUCAACCUUUACUUUAUUUAGCUAUUUCGAUACAGAUUGAAUAACUCGCUAACUGAAUUAAUACAGCAAUGGGGACUUAAAAUUCUUCUUUUAUUUAAUCGCGACUCUCUUGUCUUUACCGAAAAAACUAAAAGACCCCGAAACGCAAAAUACUUAUACAAAUCUUUGAAUGCAAUAAUGAGCGAACGGCAAUAACAAUGAUCACUAUAAUGAUGAACCAAGAUUAAAGCCCACGCUCUAUGUUGCUACGCUUAUUUAUAAUGCCAUCCCCACGGGAUGGUGGUCCACUGGGGGUAUGCUUCCGUGGGAAUCAGGAUGUUGCAGUUUGAAUUUCUUGAAAUCGUACGUGAGAGAAUGCGGGUUCCAUGCGUCGACUUAGUUCCUAUCAGUCCUGUGCUUCUGCUGAGCUAGCAUCUAGGAGGCUCGAAGCAUUCCAUGCUGAUCUAGUCCUUCCCGCGAGAAUCUCCCACGUGCUGUACCGUGGGAAUUAUCUGUGUUUCUUCGGUGCGUGCAAGGGUUGGCGGCCGCAGCAUCAUUAUCACUUCGAUGCUCGCUCGGGCAACACGCGCGACAUCCGCUGCUCUCCCGCUACAAGGACCUCCUUCUUUGAGUUAUUUUUGCGCUUUGGUGAUCGACGUUCGGACAAUGUUUGCGGAGGCAUUUCCAUCAGAGGUUUCUUAUUAUAUUAUUUUUAGAUGUAUUUUGUUUUUAUGUACGAAAUAUAUAUAUAUAUAU